CAACAGAUUUUUGGGUGCAAAUA
rnacentral:siRNA from 1 species